CUGAGAGACAUACAAAGAGAGGCAGAGACAUAGGCAGAGGGAGAAGCAGACUCCUCGCAUGGAGCAUGAUGUGGGACUCCAUCCACGGACCCAGGAUCACACCCCUAGUCAAAGGUAGAUGCUCAACUGCUGAGCCACCCAGGUGUCCCUGCACUCAGAACUUUUUAUCACCUUUCCUAGUGACUCAUAAGGAAACAAAAAUUUUUGAAAACCAAUACUAUCACUCAAUUUCCCCUUUUAAUGCAAACGACUGUAUUUACAUCUCUAUGUUUGUUUAAAAAUAUAAAGACUGUAGCCAAACAGAGAAGAUGUCUAGAGGAAACAGAAGAAGCCAUUUCCAAAAUGAUUUAUUGUAGGUCAAGCAUCCCCAGAGAGAUGCAUAGAACUAGAGUCCCUGUUAGAGCAGAACAGAGUUUGGUUUGUACUGAAGAAACUAUUAUAAUUAAAAAACAGUUUAUUUCUGUUCAUGUCUUUUGCCCAUUUCAUGAUUGGAUUGUUUGUUUCUUUGCUGUUGAGUCUAAUAAGUUCUUUAUAGAUCUUGGAAACUAGCCCUUUAUCUGAUACGUCAUUUGCAAAUAUCUUCUCCCAUUCUGUAGGUUGUCUUUUAGUUUUGUUGACUGUAUCCUUUGCUGUGCAAAAGCUUCUUAUCUUGAUGAAGUCCCAAUAGUUCAUUUUUGCUUUUGUUUCUCUUGCCUUCAUGGAUGUAUCUUGCAAGAAGUUACUGUGUCCUAGUUCAAAAAAGAUGUUGCCUGUGUUCUCCUCUAGAAUUUUGAUGGAAUCUUGUCUCACACUUAGAUCUUUCAUCCAUUUUGAGUUUACCUUUGUGUAUGGUGCAAGGGAGUGGUCUAGUUUCAUUCUUCUGCAUGUGGCUGUCCAAUUUUCCCAGCACCAUUUAUUGAAGAGACUGUCUUUUGUCCAGUGGAUAGUCUUUCCUCCUUUGUCGAAUAUUAGUUGACCAUAAAGUUGAGGGUCCACUUCUGGAUUCUCUAUUCUGUUCCAUUGAUCUAUGUGUCUGUUUUUGUGCCAGUACCACACUGUCUUGAUGACCACAGCUUUGUAGAACAACCUGAAAUCUGGCAUUGUGAUGCCCCCAGCUAUGGUUUUCUUUUUUAAUAUUCCCCUGGCUAUUCGGGAUAUUUUCUGAUUCCACACAAAUCUUAAAAUAAUUUGUUCUAACUCUCUGAAGAAAGUCCAUGGUAUUUUGAUAGGGAUUGCAUUAAACGUGUAAAUUGCCCUGGGUAACAUUAACAGAAAUCUCACAGAGGAAGACAUAGACAUAGCCAACAAGCACAUGAGAAAAUGCUCCAUAUCACUGGCCACCAGGGAAAUACAAAUCAAAACCACAAUGAGAUACCACCUUACACCAGUGAGAAUGGGAAAAAUUAACAAGACAGGAAACAACAAAUGUUGGAGAGGAUGUGGAGAAAGGGGAACGCUCUUGCACUGUUGGUAGGAAUGUGAACCGGUGCAGCCACUCUGGAAAACUGUGUGGAGGUUCCUCAAAGAGUUAAAAAUAGAUCUACCCUACGACCCAGCAAUUGCACUGCUGGGUAUUUACCCAAGAUACAGAUGCAGUGAAACGCUGGGAGACCUACACCCCGAUGUUUCUAGCAGCAAUGUCCACAAUAGCCAAACUGUGAAGGAGCUUCAGUGUCCAUCAAAACAUGAAUGGAUAAAGAAGAUGUGGUUUAUGUAUACAAUGGAAUAUUCCUCAGCCAUUAGAAAUGACAAAAACCCACCAUUUGCUUCAACGUGGAUGGAACUGGAGGGUAUUAUACUGAGUGAAAUAAAUCAAUCGGAGAAGGACAAACAUUAUAUGGUCUCAUUCAUUUGGGGAUUAUAAAAUAUAGUGAAAGGGAAUAAAGGAGAAAGGAGAAAAAAUGAGUGGGAAAUAUCAAAAAGGGAGACAGAACAUGGGACUCCUAACUCUGGGAAACGAACUAGGGGUGGUAGAAAGGGAGGUGGGCGGGGGAUGGGGGUGACUGGGUGACAGGCACUGAGGGGGGCACUUGAUGGGAUGAGCAGUGGGUGUUAUUCUAUAUGUUGGUAAAUUGAACACCAAUAAAAAAUAAAUUUAUAAAUAAAUAAAUAAAUAAAUAAAUAAAUAAAUAAAUAAAUAAAUAAAUAAAGCAAGCUAAGGUAAACUUGAAAAAAAAAAAAACAGUUUACUUUCUAAAGAAGCUUAGAAACCCCUACAGGGAUUAAAGGGGACUCCUGAGCAAAUGUCAAACUGGGGCUAAGACCAAAGAUUUGUCUUUUAAUUCUUAAAUAGAAUAAUUUUUUUAAUUAAAAAAAUGUUUUACCCCAAUUCUAGUCAAGGAAAGUGAUGUAACUCUGCCUUAAAUUUCAAAAUUAAAAUGAAGGAAAGCAGCAAAUGAAAGAAAGAAGAUUCCUAACAGAUUUAAGAAGUCUCAAAGGUAGAUUGGGAAAAGAUUUACAAUCCUUUAUUUCCUCACAUUAUAGACAUCCUUACCUUUUCUCAUGUGAUGUUGCUGACCUCUACUAAAGUUAGAUUUGGCCAUGUGCCUUUUUUGGGUCCACAGGUUGCAUUAGCAGUCAUGAUGCAAAUAGAGACUUUAUGCUUGUGUGAUGCAACUUGGCUUUUUAUGCUAUUGGAAUCCUACCAGGUAGCAAUUCCCUUCCAUUGUGAUCCCCAGAGUGAGGAUAUGAAGCAUCCCUGAAACCAGCUGCAAGCCUAGAAUCCAACCUGGCCCAGCUAAGCCCAGCCUGAAUCAGACAAAGUGGCUUACUGUCAGAUGCCUGAAUGUGAAGAUAAAUAUUUGUUGUAAGCCACAGAUCUUGCAGUUGUUUGUUGCACAGGAAAAAACUAUUAUAAGCUCUUAACUCAAUCACUACCUCUUAGAAGCAAUACUAAGGGAAGAUGAGUAGAUAAAAUGUUCAAAUGUGCACAUUACCCACUAAUGUGAAGAGAUGCAAAUUGAGUAAGUAUACAGGCAGCCUACAAAAGUGCAGAGAGGAAAUCCUCAAGAGAUGAAGCAUUUAUCUGCCCUUAUAAGAGGUCAAGACCUCACAAAAGGAAAAAAAAUAAAACCACCAGGGCUAAAUUAGAGGAUCUCUAAAGCCUGAUCUUCCAUGUUCCUUGAGAGUAGUACAUGUUAAGGCAGAGAACAAGGACUCCAAGAAAAGCUUCCCAAAGCCCCAACAGAAUGUUCCUCCACUGGCCCAGCCACACACCUCCAACUCCACAUGUUCUGGUUAUAUAAAAGCAACAAGAGUGCACAGAAAACAAUAUUCAAUUGUCAGACUACAAGACAAAGACAAACAGGUCCUACAGAGUCUGAGAAAAUUCAUAUACACUACAUUAUAUUGACUAUAAAAAGUGGGCAGAGCUGCUCUUGCCAAACUGGGUCACAAUAAAAAGAAAUAGCAUAGCAGCUAAGCUAACACUAAAGCACAAGAAAAAAAAAAAUUAAGGGGGAUAAAAGGGAAGGAGGAUGGAGGAAAGGAAAGAAAGCGGCAGAUAAAAGACACAAUCAGAAAGAAAAUAUAAUCUAACAUAGAGAAAACAAUUCCCUGUGAGUACUUCUUGUAAAAAAAAAAAAAAAAAAAAAA
rnacentral:lncRNA from 1 species